rnacentral:rRNA from 1 species
CGAACGCUGGCGGCAGGCUUAACACAUGCAAGUCGAGCGAGAUCUUCGGAUCUAGCGGCGGACGGGUGAGUAACGCGUGGGAACGUGCCCUUUGCUACGGAAUAGUCCCGGGAAACUGGGUUUAAUACCGUAUACGCCCUUUGGGGGAAAGAUUUAUCGGCAAAGGAUCGGCCCGCGUUGGAUUAGGUAGUUGGUGGGGUAAUGGCCUACCAAGCCGACGAUCCAUAGCUGGUUUGAGAGGAUGAUCAGCCACACUGGGACUGAGACACGGCCCAGACUCCUACGGGAGGCAGCAGUGGGGAAUCUUAGACAAUGGGGGCAACCCUGAUCUAGCCAUGCCGCGUGAGUGAUGAAGGCCUUAGGGUUGUAAAGCUCUUUCAGCUGGGAAGAUAAUGACGUACCAGCAGAAGAG